UGUGUAUGAGUGUGUGUGUAUACAUGUGUGUGUGUGUGUAUAUAUGUGAGUGUGUGAUUGAGUGUGUGUGUGUGUAUGUGUAUAUGAGUGUGUGUAUAUAUAUGUGUGUGUGUGUGUGCAUGCGUUCGAGUGUGAAUGCGCACAUGUGUGUGUGUGUGAGUGUGUGUGUUGACACGUGUUUGUAUCUCUG